rnacentral:tRNA from 2 species
ACCGAAUUGGCAGAUUAGUGCAUUUGAUUUAGGAUCAGAAUAAAUAGGUGAAAUUCCUUUAUUUGGUA